CUCCGUGGGCGGGGUUUCAGUUACCUGAACCAAGCAUUGCUCACGCUGAUCCCAAAGUGCUCCGAUGCAGCCGGGCUGGGCGAUUAUAGGCCCAUCAGCCUAAUCCACCUCGUCGCCAAGAUUUUCGCAAAGGUGUUGUCCCUCCGCCUAGCACCCAAACUGAACGAGCUGGUCAGCCCCAUUCAGAACGCAUUCAUCCCGGGACGAAGCCUACACGACAAUUUCGUGCUCGUCCGACAAUCGGCCCGUCUUCUCCACCAGCUGGGCGCCCCGCGCAUUCUCCUGAAGCUCGACCUCGCGCGGGCGUUUGACUCCAGGCAAUAA
rnacentral:rRNA from 1 species